rnacentral:rRNA from 1 species
UGAGGAAUAUUGGUCAAUGGGCGGAAGCCUGAACCAGCCAAGUAGCGUGCAGGAUGACGGCCCUAUGGGUUGUAAACUGCUUUUGAAGGGGAGUAAAGUGAGUGACUUAUCAUUCAUUGCAAGUACCCUUGGAAUAAGGACCGGCUAAUUCCGUGCCAA